rnacentral:lncRNA from 1 species
UCACCGGAAUUUCCCCGACCGCGGGACUCCGGUCACUGGAUUUUCCCCUGUAACCAGUUACUGACCUCCAAUAACCAGUUACUGACCAGUUAGUAACCCGUUACUGACACCUAGUAACCAGUUACUGACACCCAAUAAUCACUUAGUUUUCAGUUACUGACACCCAGUAAUCAUCCAGUAAUCACUUACUAACCCCUAGUAACCAGUUACUGACACCCAAUAAUCACUUGGUUUUCAGUUACUGACACCCAAUAAUCAUCUAAUAAUCACUUACUCACCCCCAAUAAUCGAGUUACUGACCCCAAUAACUUUUAGUUUUCAGUUACUGACACCCAAUAAUCACUUAGUUUUCAGUUAUUGACACCCAGUAAUCACCCAAUAAUCACUUACUGACCCUCAAUAAUCAGGUUACAAACCUCAAAUAAUAACUUACUGACCCCAAUAAUCACUUAUCAAUCCUCAAUAAUCACUGACUGACCUUAAUAUUUAACAAAAAAAAAAUCUCUAACUGACUUGAACUGGGCACCCAUAAUUUCUUCUCUGGGUACCCACCUUCCCCGAUGGUGAGCACACCAGCCUCCUCCACCGAACCCGGCGCACCUCACCUCACUCCACCGAACCCGACGCACCUCACCUCACGUCGGCAAGCAGUGCCCUUCCCCAGCCACGAUCCAGCCCGGAUUGAACUCCAGCCAAGUUGCAGCUCGCUAAUAUCUACACCAUCUCGUCGUCGCCGGCUUGGCGUAGAUCGGAGUCGCUCCGGGAUCGGAUAGGAGAUCUGGUGAGGUGGAGGAAGGACUAGACGCCGUCGCAAGCAUAGGAGAUCUGGUGUGGUGCGGUGGAGGCAAGGUGAUAAGGUCUGGGUUGAUGAGAGAGAGAGAGAGAGAGAGAGAGAGAGAGAGAGAGAGAGAGAGAGAGCGAGAGAGAUCGGAGGUUUAAGAGAGAGAAGAGGACAUACUUGUAAUUUUAUUAAAAAUCAUUGGAAUGAGUUAAGAGAAAAGAUUUACAUUAAAGUGGGUAUUAAAAUCCCUGUUUUUGUGCAUUUGGGCAUUUUCCCAAAAUAAUAUUAUAGAAGAAUAAGAAAUCAAGCUUUGAUGACGUGGAUAUGCCACAUCAGCUGCUACGUAAGAUGGGCUCUAGGUUGUUCCCCAAAUAAUGAUUCACCUAACAGUACUCUUGUUGUAAAAUAUUGUACUCAUUCAGUUCCCACUACUGUAAAUGUCUACCUUUUGCUCUGGUGUUUCCUCAAUUCCUUUGUAAGAAGACAAUAGUGCAGUUGUGUGAAUACGGUAGUGAAAGUUGGUUGGCACAAGUUAGUAUGACAUUUCUCCUAGCCUACUAUAUGACACCUAAAAUAAAAUAUUUCAUUGAAAGCAGUAAUUAUGGUACUGCCACAGUUUCGUGUCUACGUUCGCGUGCUGAAGUAGUGAAGUUAGCAUAAUAAAGACGAUUUGCACCAUUUCAAAUAUAAAAAAUCACAUGCGGGAGCGCGGUUAUUCUACAUGUGCAUAUGCGCGUGCAAGAAGGUCAGAAAUGUUGUAUAUUUUGAUAUAUCUGUGCAUGCAUGUUUUGGUACACUGUUUAAUGUUUGACAGUAAAAGAUAAGUAAUUUGUUAGAUCUAAAAACACACUCCUUUCAAACACAAUUUCACUACCAGGACAAGCA